GCGGAGGGAUCAUUACCGAGUUUACAACUCCCAAACCCCUGUGAACAUACCUAUACGUUGCCUCGGCGGAUCAGCCCGCGCCCCGUAAAACGGGACGGCCCGCCCGAGGACCCUAAACUCUGUUUUUAGUGGAACUUCUGAGUAAAACAAACAAAUAAAUCAAAACUUUCAACAACGGAUCUCUUGGUUCUGGCAUCGAUGAAGAACGCAGCAAAAUGCGAUAAGUAAUGUGAAUUGCAGAAUUCAGUGAAUCAUCGAAUCUUUGAACGCACAUUGCGCCCGCCAGUAUUCUGGCGGGCAUGCCUGUUCGAGCGUCAUUUCAACCCUCAAGCUCAGCUUGGUGUUGGGACUCGCGGUAACCCGCGUUCCCCAAAUCGAUUGGCGGUCACGUCGAGCUUCCAUAGCGUAGUAAUCAUACACCUCGUUACUGGUAAUCGUCGCGGCCACGCCGUUAAACCCCAACUUCUGAAUGUUGACCUCGGAUCAGGUA
rnacentral:rRNA from 1 species